UGGGGAAUAUUGCACAAUGGGCGCAAGCCUGAUGCAGCCAUGCCGCGUGUGUGAAGAAGGCCUUCGGGUUGUAAAGCACUUUCAGCGAGGAGGAAGGUGGUGAGCUUAAUACGCUCAUCAAUUGACGUUACUCGCAGAAGAAGCACCGGCUAACUCCGUGCCAGCAGCCGCGGUAAUACGGAGGGUGCAAGCGUUAAUCGGAAUUACUGGGCGUAAAGCGCACGCAGGCGGUUUGUUAAGUCAGAUGUGAAAUCCCCGGGCUCAACCUGGGAACUGCAUUUGAAACUGGCAAGCUAGAGUCUCGUAGAGGGGGGUAGAAUUCCAGGUGUAGCGGUGAAAUGCGUAGAGAUCUGGAGGAAUACCGGUGGCGAAGGCGGCCCCCUGGACGAAGACUGACGCUCAGGUGCGAAAAGCGUGGGGAGCAAAACAGGAUUAGAUACCCUGGUAGUCCACGCUGUAAAACGAUGUCGAUUUUGGA
rnacentral:rRNA from 1 species